rnacentral:tRNA from 1 species
UCAUGAAUUAUUCCUCCGUCAGCGCCACAUAUUCAGAAUGUUUAAUCUCCUGGCAUUCUUCAGGAAUACCCCCUUU